CCUACGGGAGGCAGCAGUGAGGAAUAUUGGUCAAUGGACGCAAGUCUGAACCAGCCAUGCCGCGUGCAGGAUGACGGCUCUAUGAGUUGUAAACUGCUUUUGUACGAGGGUAAACCCCGAUACGUGUAUCGGGUUGAAAGUAUCGUACGAAUAAGGAUCGGCUAACUCCGUGCCAGCAGCCGCGGUAAUACGGAGGAUCCGAGCGUUAUCCGGAUUUAUUGGGUUUAAAGGGUGCGUAGGCGGGUUGAUAAGUUAGAGGUGAAAUGUCGGGGCUCAACCCCGAAACUGCCUCUAAAACUGUUAGACUAGAGAAUAGUUGCGGUGGGCGGAAUGUAUGGUGUAGCGGUGAAAUGCUUAGAGAUCAUACAGAACACCGAUCGCGAAGGCAGCUCACCAAACUACAUCUGACGUUGAGGCACGAAAGCGUGGGUAGCAAACAGGAUUAGAUACCCGGGUAGUC
rnacentral:rRNA from 1 species